GUCCCCGUAGCGCAGUGGAUAGCGCGCUGGACUUCUAAUCCAGAGGUCGCGGGAUCGAAUCCCGCCGGGGAUG
rnacentral:tRNA from 1 species